rnacentral:rRNA from 1 species
CCUGAGAACUACGAGCACAAACGCAAAAAACUCUAAGGACUUGGCGGUGCUCCAAACCCACCUAGAGGAGCCUGUUCUGUAAUCGAUAACCCACGAUAUACCCAACCCCUCCUUGCCUAAAGCAGCCUACAUACCGCCGUCCCCAGCUCACCUGCCCUGAUAGCUCAAUAGUGAGCACAAUAGCACCUCGCUAGUAAGACAGGUCAAGGUAUAGCCUAUGGAGGGGAAGAAAUGGGCUACAUUUUCUAAAUAGAAAAUCCAACGAAAAGGGGCCUGAAAUACCCCCUAGAAGGAGGAUUUAGUAGUAAAGGGAGAUAAGAAUGCCCCCUUAAACUCGGCCCUGGAGCACGUACACACCGCCCGUCACC